CUAUCUGUGAUGAUAUCUCAGGCUAUAGGGCUGGAAACCUCUCCACACAAAGCUGUGCGGAUUGGGGAAGCCCGCACAAACCUAAAGAUACCACGCUCGACACCCAGAUCGACCGGGAACUGCAGCAGCAGGUUGAGGCCUACUGGGGAAGGUGAAGGGGAAAGGCUGCUCCAAUCCACACGCUGCUGCUCCAAGCCACACAUGAGCACAAG